ACGGGUGAGUAACACGUAUGCAACCUGCCUUCAACAAGGGCAUAACCCGUUGAAAGACGGACUAAUUCCCUAUGACACAGGGGUCCCGCAUGGGGAUAUUUGUUAAAGAUUAAUCGGUUGGAGAUGGGCAUGCGUUCCAUUAGCUUGUUGGCGGGGUAACGGCCCACCAAGGCAACGAUGGAUAGGGGAACUGAGAGGUUUAUCCCCCACACUGGUACUGAGACACGGACCARACUCCUACGGGAGGCAGCAGUGAGGAAUAUUGGUCAAUGGGCGCAAGCCUGAACCAGCCACGUCGCGUGAAGGAAGACGGCCCUACGGGUUGUAAACUUCUUUUGCAAGGGAAUAAAGUUGGCCACGCGUGGCCUUUUGCAUGUACCUUGCGAAUAAGGAUCGGCUAACUCCGUGCCAGCAGCCGCGGUAAUACGGAGGAUCCGAGCGUUAUCCGGAUUUAUUGGGUUUAAAGGGUGCUCAGGCGGGGGAUUAAGUCGGCGGUGAAAUUUUGCGGCUCAACCGUAAAAGUGCCUUCGAAACUGGUUUCCUUGAGUGUGGAUGAGGUAGGCGGAAUUUGUGGUGUAGCGGUGAAAUGCAUAGAUAUCACGAGGAACUCCGAUUGCGCAGGCAGCUUACUAAGCCAUAACUGACGCUCAAGCACGAAGGCGUGGGGAUCAAACAGGAUUAGAUACCCUGGUAGUCCACGCAGUAAACGAUGAUUACUGGCUGUUUGCGAUAUAAUGUAAGCGGCUGAGCGAAAGCGUUAAGUAAUCCACCUGGGGAGUACGUUCGCAAGAAUGAAACUCAAAGGAAUUGACGGGGGCCCGCACAAGCGGAGGAACAUGUGGUUUAAUUCGAUGAUACGCGAGGAACCUUACCCGGGCUUGAAAUGCAGAUGACCGGCGCGGAGACGCGCCCUUCCCUCGGGACAUCUGUGUAGGUGCUGCAUGGUUGUCGUCAGCUCGUGCCGUGAGGUGUCGGCUUAAGUGCCAUAACGAGCGCAACCCUCAUUGUUAGUUGCCAUCAGGUUAAGCUGGGGACUCUAACAAGACUGCCAUCGUAAGAUGCGAGGAAGGUGGGGAUGACGUCAAAUCAGCACGGCCCUUACGUCCGGGGCGACACACGUGUUACAAUGGGUGGUACAAAGGGCAGCUACCGGGCGACCGGAUGCCAAUCUCCAAAACCACUCUCAGUUCGGAUCGGAGUCUGCAACUCGACUCCGUGAAGCUGGAUUCGCUAGUA
rnacentral:rRNA from 1 species